CGAUCGGUGACGUAGUGACGUAGAGUCGUUCAAUACUCACGUUAGCGAAGCUUGAUCAUCGUUAGGAGAAGAAUAAUGCUUUGCCUAAUAAGAUAGUCGUUAUUUAUAUGUGCUCACGUUAAAACCAACUGGUAUCGCUACUUACACAGCUCCCUUUUUGGACGAAGAUGACCGAUUUGGCAGAGUCCCUGACCAAAGAGGGCUGGUACCUCACUGAUGAAGGCAUAGCAGAACUGAAAGGAUCUGCAGAGAAAGUAACACACAGUGACAUCAUUCGUAUUGCACUCAAUAGUGACCUCAGGCCUAUUGGGAGGAAAUAUCUACCACCUGAUAUCAAUAGUGGAAGGACUGAGAAUUUGGAAGGACCAUGUGUUCUCCAGGUGCAGAAGGUGAGGAACAUCUCUGCAUCUAAAGACCAUGAGGAGUCCCAGGGUGCGCCGCGAAUGCUGCGACUUCAAAUGACAGAUGGACAUACCACCUGUGUUGGAUUGGAGUUUAAACACCUGUCCAAGAUCAGUCUCAAUACUCCCCCUGGAACGAAGGUAAAGCUCCUUGGUACAGUCCAGGUUAAAAAUGGUCUUUUGCUGCUCGAUGACUCAAAAAUCUCUGUCCUUGGAGGAGAGGUUGAUCACAUGGUGGAGAAAUGGGAACUACAAAGGAGUCUGGCCAAACACAGCAGGAGUAACAUUGGAGCAGAAGGUGGACCUCCUCCCUUUGUGCCAUUCGGUCAGAAGUGUGCAAGGAGGGAUGAAGUAGACAGCAGAGAACUAGACCAGAGGAAGACCCUGCAGACUCAGAAUGUGAUCAAAAGUACUGAGGAGAAUGAUGACUUUGAGAAGCAGCGGACUGCAGCUAUCGCUGAGGUGGCCAAGAACAAGGAGGGUCCCCGCGCGUUUGGUGGUGGAGGAAAUGCAGGGAGUAAUUUAUCCAGCGCUGCUUCCUCCUUCCGAAACCGAGACUCGUACCAGCAGAGGAGACGAGAAGACAGGGUGGAACGAACGGACAGCAGACAAGAUGGAAACUAUCGAGAGCUGGUGGAUGAACGUGCUCUGAGAGACAUCAUGGAGAUGGGCUUUAACAGAGAGGCCGCCCGGCAGGCUUUGAUGGAUAAUAACAACAACCUUGAAGUAGCACUAAACUGCCUGCUGACUGGAUCUUCGGGCAGCAGACCUGGUCCUGUGGUAGCUGAAUCCAACAGGCCUCCACCCAGAGCCAGAGGACGGGGAAGAGGCAGGUCCAGAAAUGAAGACGAGGAGGAGGGAGCAGGAGGAAGGCCAUCCGGACCAAGUACUCUGUUUGACUUUCUGGAAUCCAAGAUGGGAGUUUUCUCCAUCGAUGGUCAGUGUCCUGAGCCAAAGAGCCAGGCUCCUCAGCGGCAUAAUGAGAGCAAAGCCAACUUCUCCAACUCAGAGUAUCACUCCAAAGACGCAUCUCACACUAAGUACUCAUCUCAUAAUGAGCAUAGGCAACAAAGGAACGACAGACCACCUCGCUUUCACAGGGACACUGAUUUCCCCAAACCUGGCCAGGAGCCUCUUUCCAACUGUACAACCUCCCAAACUUCAGCUCAAGGCCAGCAUUGGAAGGGCCAGGAGAGAUGGUCGCGAGGCGCACCAGACAGAUCCCACACUGACAGGAGAGAGAUGCGUGAUGAGCAGAAUUUUCCCUCAUCCUUCCCGACUACUUUCACACGUUCAAAAGAACCUCAGCAGCAGAUGGAUCCAAGUGGAUCUUACCACCAACGAUCCAGAAAUGGAGAUGGUGGUGGUGGGGGGAACAUUCCUGGACAGUCCCAUAGGAGAGGGCCAAAAGAUAAUGCACCCACAUCUAAACUUAGUAAUUCUGCAGGCAGUGAACUAGAUGGAAGAGGAAAUAAUAAACGUACGGACAGAAUUGAAGAACCCAACAACAGCAGGAGGAUGGGGAAAACUGAGCGGCCAAACUCAGGCCACUUUGACCGACAAAGGGAUAGUGGACCGGCAGACUUUAACUUUAGGGGAGGAAGCUCGGGAACGUCCCAAGAGGGGUUAUCACAGGAUUCUCGAAUCAUGAUGGGGGAUCCUACUCUUUUCCAAAAUGGAGAUGUGGAACACAAAAGAACUGGACCUAUCAAGCCAGCAAAUUCAUCUUGCCCCCCCAACAGGGAGCAGCCUCCAAAGAAAAACACCUCUAAUAACCCGGGAUCUAAAAGGAGGGCAGGACAGGGCAGGGGCCAAGGUCCUCGGGGGCCAGAGAAGAGUCACUUUGUGGAAAGGGCUUGGAAACCUGGAGACCAGUGCCUGGCACUGUACUGGGAAGACAGCAAGUUCUACCACGCCAGAAUAGAUGCUGUGCAUUCAUCAGGCUCCACGGCUGUGGUUGUUUUCAGUGAUUAUGGAAACUGUGAAGAAGUCCUGCUGCAUAACAUCAAACCUAUUCCCGCUGAUUUUUUGUAACAUCACAACCAUAUCAAAUGUACAAUGGCAGGAGGAAGAUGACGGUUACUACGACAGUUCAUUAGAGUUUCGUCGUGGGGGAGACGGACAGCCAAGACGCACAAGACCAACACAGCAGUAUUACCAGCCUCCCAGGGCACGGGAUUGAUGUGUCUGUGUUUACAGUGUGCUUGGCCCUCCUCCUCCUCCCCAUGACAGAGCUUUCAUCACUUUCUGCAACAAUCCAGAGUGCUUCCUGAAUUUCUACGCGUCCAAUUUGUCAGGACAUAACAUGACGUUUCAAAGGGCUCGGACAUGAUGCAAAACUGAACGGAAAAAAAAAAAAAAACUGACAUGACCACCUGUGGAUUUUGUUAAGAACAUAUCUACUGUAUAUGUUGUGAAGAUUUAUUAAAUGGAUGCAUAAAAAUAAACAGUUAUUAUGGUAUGUAGCGGA